CUGAACAUUUGCAUCUCAGUGUGAUUCCUGUCUCACAGUCAUACUUCCAGAAUUGAAGAUGACAACAGUAUUAUAAAGCUGCUAGUGCCUCUUGCUCUGGCUGCUAAGUUCCUACUCAAGCUCCAGUAGGUUUUAACUGAUCCUCCCAGAAAGAAAGAGUCACAUCUUCCUGGAACUCUGCUGUGUGUAGGAAGAAAGUUGUGGACUACAGACAUGUUCGUGGGUGCUCAGCUUUGAGACAGACAGUAUGUAUGGCCUGUGUCUCAAAGGAAGGAGAGAUGUAUGCUCUUUAACAAAGAAGGACGAUGGAGCCAGAGAGUGUCUGAUAUUGUCACAAAAAUGGUAGAAAUGAUUGUCUUUGGAAUCAAGGAUAGAUGGAAAACAAGUGACAUGAGUACCUGACAUACAGAGUGAAAAGGCCAAGGGAUGAAU